CCGGUGAGAGCGAGAGGGACACGCUGUGUGAGGUUGCUGCAGGAGCAGACUACCGGAGCCGUGGGUCGUCCCGCGGGAGUGUGAAUUAUCUGCGGAAUUGGCCAGUUUGGAUGGCGAGCUUAGAGCCCUGAACUAGAGUCUGAAGCUUUAUGCCUGGAACCGAACCACCUGAACUGAACUGAAUCCACCAAACCAAGCCCCGGGCUGGUAGGAGGCUCCUCAGCAGGCGCCUUCUGUUUUUCCCUUUUUUUUUACCAAACACAACGUGUUCAUUGCGGUCCUCCUGAACAUUCACUUUUCCCCCGUCCCUUCACUAAAACUCCUCUGGACACUGCCACCACAACGUGGACUUUGCGGGGCCCAUUUAAUGAACUUUGAACUCGUGUUGCGCUUAUACCAUCGUUGGUAGAAAACAAGGACUGAAUCAAGUACACUAUUGUAUUGUAAAUACUGAACGUUCUGUGAACUGUUGAAUAUGUGAAUGGCCAUUCGAAUUUACAUGUGGAUGUUGUUUGUUUAUUUUUCCUAUUAUUCUUUAAUAUAAUUUGGUACCACUUAAACUUAAAACCUGUGUUCAGUUUUUAUUACUCUCCAUUCCUAGAGCCGAGUUUAGUUUCUUUUGAUCUAGCCCAGACAUAUCAUUCACUGUUUUACUUAAUACUUGUACAGUGCUUUAUUAGAGUAACAUACAAGUUACACAAGGAUCUGCCAAUGUCAUUACAGUGCUCCAGCUUCCUGUAUACCGUCUUUAGGAAUUUGCUGCAAAAAUAUUUGUCUCCCAGGUUUUGAACUGAACUUGGUGGCCGCUAUGGUGUCAUUGCCAGGCCUCUGGGCCGCAGUUGAAUAGCCCUGCUAUUUAAUAUAGCUCAAGUUACAAAAUUAAUUGUAACCUUUUCUGGAGAAUUGUGGCUAUUAAGGAACGACAAAAUAUAAUGUUUUUGAAGUACCAAGAUUGUUUUUCCUAUUUGGUCUAAAAAACAUUAUGUUCACUGUGAAACAAGUCCUAAAUUAAAGAGAAGUUUUGGGAAUUGGUCCUUAAAAAACAGACAUGUGUGCAUGAGACAUGCAGAAAGGAAAGGACAAACACCAGGAGGGCAUAUGAGUGUGAUGUCAAAUGUGUGAGGAA